ensembl:processed_transcript
UCUUAGGGUCUGAGAAGGCAGAGAGUGGAAUAGUCGGCAGCAUUGGAUAAUCCGGACUGGGUCGAGGCAUCAUCUCCGCUCCCUCAGGAACAACGAUAGCCUGAGAUGAGAAAAACACCUCAACAUAAAGAGAGAAUGAGAGUGAGAGUCCAAUGAAAAGAGCUGAUUAUAGAGGUUUUGGGAAGCUGUCAUGAAGGCGGAAGACAACUCUCUCCACAAAGUGCUGGAUGUCACAUGCCUCCGGGCCCCGAACAAACACCAUCCAGUCAUGUGUGAAGCCCUCGGUAGUGACUUUCUUCCUUAACUGGGCUCUGUGUCCCAGCUCCAAUUUCACCUGAACAGUGCACUGAAAUAAGACAAAACUACAGUCAACCAUCACUUUUUCUGAACAGGAGUACUUCAACUGUCUGUCUGUCUGUCUGUCUGUCUGUCUGUCUGUCUGUCUGUCUGUCUGUCUAUCUAUCUAUCUAUCUAUCUAUCUAUCUAUCUAUCUAUCUAUCUAUCUACCUAUAUCUAUAUAUAUAUAUAUAUAUAUAUAUAUAUAUAUAUAUAUAUAUAUAUAUAUAUAUACCCUGACAAAAGUAUUGUCAUCAAUCCCAGUUGUCAGAGUAACAAAUAAUAACUGGAUUUCUAGUUGUUCAUUUGCAAAAGUAGCUGAAGGUAGAUUUUUCAGAUGAUUCAUCUGUUGAACUCCAUUCAAAUCCUUACAAAUACUGCAGAAGACCCAUUGGAACUGGCAUGGACCCAAGAUUCUCACAGAUUCUGUCAAGUUUGGUGAAGGAAAAA